rnacentral:rRNA from 1 species
GACGAACGCUGGCGGCGUGCUUAACACAUGCAAGUCGAACGAAGUGGCGAACGGGUGAGUAACGCGUAAUUAACCUGCCCUUCAGAGGGGGACAACAGUUGGAAACGACUGCUAAUACCGCAUACAGAAGGAGGGGAUUGCGUAUGAUUAGCUAUGUGGAGGGGUAACGGCCCACCAAGGCGAUGAUCAGUAGCCGGUCUGAGAGAAGGAGCGGCCACAUGGGGACUGAGACACGGCACAGACGUCUACGGGAGGCAGCAGUGGGGAAGCUUCCGCAAUGGACGAAAGUCUGACGGAGCAACGCCGCGUGAGUGAUGACGGCCUUCGGGUUGUAAAGCUCUGUUAAUCGGGACGCGGUACCGGAAUAGAAAGCCACGGCUAACUACGUGCCAGCAGCCGCGGUAAUAC